rnacentral:misc_RNA from 1 species
AAGUCGUAACAAGGUUUCCGUAGGUGAACCUGCGGAAGGAUCAUUACCAAAUCCAAAACUUUAUCAACACCAAACAAGUGAACUGAGAAUGGUUUCGUUCCCCUCUGCAUGUGCAUACAAUGUGUUUCCACAUUCGUGCGUGUGCGAAGGGGGAUGUUUUUUUUUCAACCCCUUUUCAACCUCUUACAAUCUUUUAUGCUGAAAGCAAAAAAAACGAAACAUGAGACAACUUUUAACGGUGGAUCUCUUGGCUCGU